AAGCACUGUAUUUGAACCUGUGGAGCCCCUUCAUGGCUCGAUGGGUCAAGCAACGGUGCUACAGUAAAAGAUUGUUAUAACUGGGGCGUCUUGGAUUUCCCACCAAGUUGCUCUUUUAAAAGCAGUCGACAACU